AUGACCAACAGCCUGCUCGCCCGCAAGCAGUUCGUCGCUGGCGCACACCAUGGCCGCGCGGGGCUGGAUCCAAUGCGGGCGCUACUGCUUCUGCUGGCCAAGGUGUACGAGGUCAAGGACCCCAACCGCAUCUUCGUGUUCAAGUUCCGCACCCACUUCGGAGGCGGCAUGUCCUCUGGAUUCGGUCUCAUCUAUGACAACCUCGAAUCCGCCAAGAAGUUCGAGCCCAAGUACCGCCUCAUCAGGGUACAGAUUGUUUCGCCCUCGUGUCUUCUUCACUUGGAGCUUCGUUGCGUUGUCUCGUCUAGAUGUGCGCUAGUAUUUGUUUCCUCUGUGCUGACCCAGGAUCGCGAUGUAGUAGUAUGUAACUGA
rnacentral:rRNA from 1 species